UGACCACUCACGCCUAGCGUGGUGUUGGGGCACGCGGUUCCGCGGCCCUCAAAUCCAGUGGCGGCGCCGGUUGGCUCUAAGCGUAGUACAACUUCUCGCUUGAGGGUCCGCCCGGUGGCUCGCCAGAACCCCCCAACUUCUCAAGG
rnacentral:misc_RNA from 1 species